UACGUAGGGUGCGAGCGUUGUCCGGAAUUAUUGGGCGUAAAGAGCUCGUAGGCGGUGUGUCGCGUCGGCCGUGAAAACCUGCAGCUUAACUGUGGGCUUGCGGUCGAUACGGGCAUCACUGGAGUUCGGCAGGGGAGACUGGAAUUCCUGGUGUAGCGGUGAAAUGCGCAGAUAUCAGGAGGAACACCGGUGGCGAAGGCGGGUCUCUGGACAGUUCCUGACGCUGAGGCACGAAGGCCAGGGGAGCAAACGGG
rnacentral:rRNA from 1 species